rnacentral:rRNA from 1 species
GACGAACGCUGGCGGCGUGCUUAACACAUGCAAGUCGAACGGAAAGGCCCUGCUCUUGUGGGGUGCUCGAGUGGCGAACGGGUGAGUAACACGUGAGUAACCUGCCCUUGACUUUGGGAUAACUUCAGGAAACUGGGGCUAAUACCGGAUAGGAGCUCCUGCUGCAUGGUGGGGGUUGGAAAGUUUCGGCGGUGGGGGAUGGACUGGCGGCUUAUCAGCUUGUUGGUGGGGUAGUGGCUUACCAAGGCUUUGACGGGUAGCCGGCCUGGGAGGGUGACCGGCCCCAUUGGGACUGAGCUACGGCCCAGACUCCUACGGGAGGCAGCGGUGCGGUAUAUUGCACAAUGGGCGGAAGCCUGAUGCAGCAACGCCGCGUGCGGGAUGACGGCCUUCGGGUUGUAAACCGCUUUCGCCUGUGACGAAGCGUGAGUGACGGUAAUGGGUAAAGAAGCACCGGCUAACUACGUG